rnacentral:rRNA from 1 species
GACGAACGCUGGCGGCGUGCUUAACACAUGCAAGUCGAACGGAAAGGCCCCUUUGGGGGUACUCGAGUGGCGAACGGGUGAGUAACACGUGAGUAACCUGCCCUUGACUUCGGGAUAACUUCAGGAAACUGGGGCUAAUACCGGAUAGGAAUCCUUGCUGCAUGGUGGGGGUUGGAAAGCUUCUGCGGUUUUGGAUGGACUCGCGGCUUAUCAGCUUGUUGGUGGGGUAGUGGCUUACCAAGGCUUUGACGGGUAGCCGGCCUGAGAGGGCGACCGGCCACAUUGGGACUGAGAUACGGCCCAGACUCCUACGGGAGGCAGCAGGGGGGAAUAUUGCACAAUGGGCGGAAGCCUGAUGCAGCAACGCCGCGGGCGGGAUGACGGCCUUCGGGUUGUAAACCGCUUUCAGCAGGGGCGAAGCUUGUGGUGACGGUACCUGCAGAAGAAGCACCGGCUAACUACGUG